UCUCUGUAGGUCUUGUCGUUUUGAAAGUGUGCCCCUUUAUAAAGAAAGAAAGAAAACAAACACCCUUUUUCACACAGUCUGAGUUCACAAGCAGGGAUGGUAUAGUGUUAGUGUGUCAGGAAGGACUGAUGAUUAUCUCUACUAUAGGUGUUUUUGGUGUUGUGCCCUGCGAUGGAGAGCAAACCAGCAUCAUCUGAGCGACCUGGUGUGCAUCUCAUAGUUAGCUCUUUAGGGAUGUGAGUGUGUGUGUGUGUGUGUAUGUGUGAGAGAGUGUGUGUGUGUGUUUUGUGUGAGUGUGUGUGUGUGUGUGUGAGUGUGUGUGUGUGUGUGUGAGUGUGUUUGUGUUGUGUGAGUGUGUGUGUGUGUGUGAGUGUUUUGUGUGUGUGUGAGAGAGUGUGUGUGUUUGUGUUGUGUGAGUGUGUUUGUUGGGGGGGGGGGUUUGUGUUUUGUGUGUGUGUGUGUGUGUGUGUGUGUACAUAUAAGACUCAGAUCAAACAGCGUCAAAAUUGCAGCUUGUGGACACACAAUACAGUUCAAGCAACAAUGUACAAACCGUUAAAAUGGUGCUAAUAAAGUGUCACGCCGGCUGGUGGCUUUUAUUUAGUAGUUCUCCUGUUUCUUGUCAGGAUCGAGCACAUUUUGCCUGACGGGCGAAUUAGUAGUUUUAGAGCUUAGGUGACAUAACUGGAAAUAACACCCAGCUGGGUUUAAAUAGAUUUAUUUUUUAAAAACAAUAUACAGAAAUAUAUAUAUAUAGAAAUAUAUUUAUAUAUAGACCUAUAGAAUCAAUUAUAAAUGCUUCCUGAACAGGCUAUUUAACAAAUAAAAGUCAGAUGCAAUUAUUUAUAGGGAUAUAUUUCUUACUGCUUUUCCAUUCAUUUCCUAUGGUCUUGGAAGAGUGAAAUAUAUGUGAAAUAUACAAACUAGACCUCUCAGUUUAGCUUGUAUUCCAACCCCAGUGACGUAAUACCUCUCUUCUUUAUUUCUCGGCGAUCUCUUUCUCUGCAUAUUAAGUUGUCGCGAGUCUU
rnacentral:lncRNA from 1 species